UACGUAGGGGGCGAGCGUUGUCCGGAGUUACUGGGCGUAAAGCGCACGCAGGCGGUCUGUUAAGUUUGGAGUGACAGUUGGUGGCUUAACUGCCAAAGUGCUUCGAAAACUGACAGACUUGAGGGCUUCAGAGGGACACGGAAUUCCGGGUGGAGUGGUGAAAUGCGUAGAGAUCCGGAGGAACACCGAAGGCGAAGGCAGUGUCCUGGCGCGUAACUGACGCUGAGGUGCGAAAGCCAGGGGAGCGAACGGG
rnacentral:rRNA from 1 species